AAGUCGUAACAAGGUUUCCGUAGGUGAACCUGCGGAAGGAUCAUUAAAAAUAUAGCAAACCGAGCGUUAGCGAGGUUUUGCGAUCAAAAUUGUAUUUAAAACCCAACUCUUUGAAUCAAAUAUAUAAUGUAUUUUAAAAAUAAAUAAAAGAUCACUUUCAACAACGGAUCUCUUGGCUCUC
rnacentral:misc_RNA from 1 species